GGUCAAUUGGUCUAGUGGUAUGAUUCUCGCUUAGGGCUCACCCUACGCCAACAAAUGCGAGAGGUCCCGUGUUCGAUCCACGGAUUGACCC